rnacentral:lncRNA from 10 species
ACAACAAGGGUUCAUUUCUCUCAAACCCUGCAUGUCCAUUACAGGUUAGCUGCACCUCUACUCCACGUGUUCCUCCCUUCAGGUCCCAGGCUGAUGGAGUAGCCUCUGUGUGUUUGGGAUGUUGUCAGUCAUAAUGGUGGACACAAAAGAGAUUAUGACAAACCGUGUAUUGUCUCCUACAAUUUCUGCUCACAGAAGUGGACAACAUCACUUCUUUCCACAUUUCAUUGACCAGAGCAAGUCAUGUGACCAAGCCUGAUUCAAAAUAGGCUGGAGCAAGGAGGAGCAGCAAACAUAACAUUCCCAGUUUACAGCUGAGGAAAUUAAGCUUCAAGUUGCCCAAGUUUAUAGAAUGAGUCAAUGGCAGAGGUUGAACUCAGAUGACAAAAUUGGGGUCUGGACGUGUGCAAGGACUUUUCCAAAGUCAGCUGGAAAGGAGCUGCUUAGCUGAGAGGUUCUGGCUCCAGAGUCUCCUGUGAAGUUGCAGUCAAGAUGUCUGCUGGGACCCCAGUCAUUUGAAGCCCUGUCUGGGGCAGGAGAAUCUAGGUCCAAAAUGGCCGUUGCAGGAGUCCUUAUCCACACCAUGUGGGACCUCUUCAUAGAUGUUCGAGUGUCCUCAUGGCAUGGCCACUGGCUUUCCCCAAAGUAAGCAGUCCAAAAGAGGACAAUCAACAAAACUGAAAAAGCCCAGCCUUGUAGCAUUUGCCAGUUAUUGUGUAAAUGUCCCCACUAUGGUGGAUUUCAGGUUACCACUAUGAUAUCACAGAAUGCAGAAUUGGAAGGAGAUUCACAGCAGCACCCCAUUAUACUAUAUUUUCACCAUACAGAUGCAGUCGAUGUAAAUUACCUGAGGAGCAUAAAUAAUAAUAAAAUGAAGUUAAAUAAUUCGGAAAUGAUUUUGAAAAUUGUGUUGGUUUUUAAUGUAAG